rnacentral:rRNA from 1 species
GACGAACGCUGGCGGCGUGCUUAACACAUGCAAGUCGAACGGAAAGGCCCUGCUUUUGUGGGGUGCUCGAGUGGCGAACGGGUGAGUAACACGUGAGUAACCUGCCCUUGACUUUGGGAUAACUUCAGGAAACUGGGGCUAAUACCGGAUAGGAGCUCCUGCUGCAUGGUGGGGGUUGGAAAGUUUCGGCGGUUGGGGAUGGACUCGCGGCUUAUCAGCUUGUUGGUGGGGUAGUGGCUUACCAAGGCUGUGACGGGUAGCCGGCCUGGGAGGGUGACCGGCGACAUUGGGACUGCGAUACGGCCCAGACGGCUACGGGAGGCAGAAGGGGGGAAUAUUGCACAAUGGGCGGAAGCCUGAUGCAGCAACGCCGCGUGCGGGAUGACGGCCUUCGGGUUGUAAACCGCUUUCGCAUGUGACGAAGCGUGAGUGACGGUAAUGGGUAAAGAAGCACCGGCUAACUACGUG